UGCGCACUUUCAGUGGUUAACCCAACUCGGGUUAACUCCUUUUAUUAAAAAAAAAAAAAAAAUACAAAAAAGAAAGAAACAAAAGACGCUCACCGUGUUUCAUUUUUAUUUUCCCUUUUCACUCUCUCCCCCGAAAUUUUUUUCCCUCCACUUUCUCCCACCACCACUGUUGAGCUCCGGCCACCACCGUUCAGCUCCGGCCACCACGAAGCAGUGCCGACGCCCACCCGACGCCCACCCAACGCCCACCAUCUGAUGGACUUGGAGAAUGAGUACGAUGAUGAUAAUUUGCUUCCACAUAUUACGGUUGAUGAUGAUCCGUGUCCCCAAGUUGUUCCUCAAAAUGGUUUGUUAGGCUCUUCCUCUCUCAUUAGUGCAACAUUUGUUGGAACUCAGGAUAGUACAACUACAAAGGAUAUAUGGCCACGUGAGCUAUUGGAAGGGUAGAUGGAACAAGUGGAAUGGAAGGAAUGAAAGUUACAAUGUAUUUUAUUGUUUUGAAAUUUUUUUGUGUUGUAUAGACAAGUGAAUAUGUAGAUUUUCAUAUAUAAUAGUAGCUUGUCCCUUUUUGUUGUUGCAACUAGUAGAUUUUCAAGGUGUUGCAACUAUUUGAACAAGUUGAUCCAUGUACUUUGUUGUGAUGUUGAAUAUUGUGAUAUGAAGAAUAUUAUCUAUUAAGUUGCCAAAUGUUCCACCUUU